UACAGAGGUCUCAAGCGUUGUUCGGAUUCAUUGGGCGUAAAGGGUGCGUAGGCGGCGGGGUAAGUCAGGUGUGAAAUCUCGGAGCUCAACUCCGAAACUGCACUUGAUAUUGCCUUGCUCGAGUACUGGAGAGGAGAUUGGAAUUUACGGUGUAGCAGUGAAAUGCGUAGAUAUCGUAAGGAAGACCAGUGGCGAAGGCGGCUCUCUGGGACGGUACUGACGCUGAGACGCGAAAGCGUGGGGAGCGAACAGG
rnacentral:rRNA from 1 species